rnacentral:rRNA from 1 species
UACGGGGGGGGCAAGCGUUGUUCGGAAUUACUGGGCGUAAAGGGCUCGUAGGCGGCCAACUAAGUCAGACGUGAAAUCCCCAGGCUCAACCUGGGAACUGCGUCCGAUACUGGAUGGCUUGAAUCCGGGAGAGGGAUGCAGAAUUCCAGGUGUAGCGGUGAAAUGCGUAGAUAUCUGGAGGAACACCGGUGGCGAAGGCGGGUCUCUGGGCCGAUACUGACGCUGAGGAGCGAAAGCGUGGGGAGCGAACAGG